AGCUUUGUGCAGUGGCGGUAUCACAGCCAAUGAGGUUUAUCCAAGGUGCAAUUGUUGCUAAUUGAAAAC
rnacentral:snRNA from 1 species